AUUUUGUUAGUUUUAAUGGGUUUUGUUUUGUUUUUUUUGCUUAAUUCUUGUUUUGAUCUAAUUGCCUGAUGGGAAUGUCAAUUUUUGUUUCUUUGUUCUCCAAUUUCUAUUUUAUCUUUAAUCUGGUAGAUCAUGAUGGUUCUAUAUGCUUGUUAAAUCUUUAUUCUCCUAUUUUAAGUGCAAGGGAAUUUAAUAAUUU
rnacentral:lncRNA from 1 species